UAAGUAUAUUUACUGCCAUGUAUAUCUAGGUACAUGCUGUAUGAAAAUGAAACCUUGAAUGGUACAUGAAUCAGUUAUGGUUUCUUGGAUCGUACAUUAAUACUUCGAUAACUGCGUUAAUUUUAGAGAUAAUAUAUGCAGAAGAGUUCCGACUAUGUGGUGACGAGGCUUGCCUUUUUUUAAAUGUAACUAAUCGGACCUCGUGUACAAAUUAUGUGGUGAAUAUGUUUAACACACGUUCGUUCCGGCGAUGCAUCUUUCAACUGUCAUAUCACCUGUCGAUGGCAGGUUAUGCGCCUACCAUGGUUGCAAAGAAUGACUUCGGAUCAGUGUUCGAUUCCGGAAAUUGAGCCUGAGAAACGGCUACCACAUCCGAGGGAAGCACUAGGAGCGUGAAUCACCCACUUCCAGAACGAUGAGGUAGUGAA
rnacentral:ncRNA from 1 species